UACGAAGGGGGCGAGCGUUGUUCGGAAUCACUGGGCGUAAAGGGUGCGCAGGCGGCCAAGUGUGUUAGGCGUGAAAGCCCGGGGCUUAACCUCGGAAUUGCACCUAAAACUACUUGGCUAGAGCAUUGGAGAGGGUAGCGGAAUUCACGGUGUAGCAGUGAAAUGCGUAGAUAUCGUGAGGAACACCAGAGGCGAAGGCGGCUACCUGGACAAUUGCUGACGCUCAGGCACGAAAGCGUGGGGAGCAAAAGGG
rnacentral:rRNA from 1 species